rnacentral:rRNA from 1 species
AUUGAACGCUGGCGGUAGGCCUAACACAUGCAAGUCGAACGGCAGCACAGUAAGAGCUUGCUCUUACGGGUGGCGAGUGGCGGACGGGUGAGGAAUACAUCGGAAUCUACUUUUUAGUGGGGGAUAACGUAGGGAAACUUACGCUAAUACCGCAUACGACCUACGGGGGAAAGCAGGGGAUCUUCGGACCUUGCGCGAUUGAAUGAGCCGAUGUCGGAUUAGGUAGUUGGCGGGGUAAAGGCCCACCAAGGCGACGAUCCGUAGCUGGUCUGAGAGGAUGAUCAGCCACACUGGAACUGAGACACGGUCCAGACUCCUACGGGAGGCAGCAGUGGGGAAUAUUGGACAAUGGGCGCAAGCCUGAUCCAGCCAUACCGCGUGGGUGAAGAAGGCCUUCGGGUUGUAAAGCGCUUUUGUUGGAAAAGAAAAGCAGCAGGUUAAUACCCCGCUGUUAUGACGGUACCCAAAGAAUAAGCACCGGCUAACUUCGUG